GAUGAAGAACGUAGCGAAAUGCGAUAAGUAAUGUGAAUUGCAGAAUUCAGUGAAUCAUCGAAUUUUUGAACGCAUCUUGCGCUCCUUGGUAUUCUGAGGAGCAUGCCUGUUUGAGUGUCAUUAAAUUCUCAACUACACUGACUUUGAAUUGGUGUGGCUUGGAUUUGGGGGGAAAAUUGUUGUGGGCUUUUUGUAUAGUCUGCUCCCCUGAAAUUGAUUAGCGGUACCUUUGUGGAACUGUCUACAGGUGUGAUAAUUAUCUACAUCUUAGACAUCUGCUGGAAUGCUGCUUUCUAAACCUUACUUGUAUUGACAAUCUUGACCUCAAAUCAGGUAGGACUACCCGCUGAACUUAAGCAUAUCAAUAAGCGGAGGA
rnacentral:misc_RNA from 1 species